rfam:Solanum tuberosum cultivar DM 1-3 516 R44 scf00639_9, whole genome shotgun sequence.
CCCAAGGAUUUUCUCAAGUCCACAAAACAUACUAACAAUAAGUGU